GAUGAACGCUAGCGGCAGGCUUAAUACAUGCAAGUCGAGGGGCAGCAUGAUUGUAGCAAUACAAUUGAUGGCGACCGGCAAACGGGUGCGGAACGCGUACACAACCUCCCAAUAAGUGGGGAAUAGCCCAGAGAAAUUUGGAUUAAUACCCCGUAACAUAACGAUGUGGCAUCACAUUGUUAUUAUAGAUUUUUCGCUUAUUGAUGGGUGUGCGGCUGAUUAGAUAGUUGGCGGGGUAACGGCCCACCAAGUCUACGAUCAGUAGCUGAUGGGAACGCAUGAUCAGCCACACUGGCACUGGGACACGGGCCCGACUCCUACAGGAGGCAGCAGUAAGGAAUAUUGGACAAUGGACGCAAGUCUGAUCCAGCCAUGCCGCGUGAAGGAUUAAGGUCCUCUGGAUUGUAAACUUCUUUUAUAAGGGACGAAAAAAGGCUUUUCUAAGUCGUCUGACGGUACCUUAUGAAUAAGCACCGGCUAACUCCGUGCCAGCCGCCGCCGUAAAAC
rnacentral:rRNA from 1 species